rnacentral:rRNA from 1 species
CGGGUGAGUAAUGCCUAGGAAUCUGCCUGGUAGUGGGGGACAACGUUUCGAAAGGAACGCUAAUACCGCAUACGUCCUACGGGAGAAAGCAGGGGACCUUCGGGCCUUGCGCUAUCAGAUGAGCCUAGGUCGGAUUAGCUAGUUGGUGAGGUAAUGGCUCACCAAGGCGACGAUCCGUAACUGGUCUGAGAGGAUGAUCAGUCACACUGGAACUGAGACACAGUCCAGACUCCUACGGGAGGCAGCAGCC